rnacentral:rRNA from 1 species
UACAGAGGGUGCGAGCGUUAAUCGGAAUUACUGGGCGUAAAGCGCGCGUAGGCGGCUUUGCAAGUCGGGUGUGAAAUCCCCAGGCUCAACCUGGGAACUGCAUCCGAUACUGGAUGGCUUGAAUUCGGGAGAGGGAUGCAGAAUUCCAGGUGUAGCGGUGAAAUGCGUAGAUAUCUGGAGGAAUACCGGUGGCGAAGGCGGCAUCCUGGACCGACAUUGACGCUGAGGAGCGAAAGCUAGGGGAGCAAACGGG